AGGUUGCUGCGUCAAAGCGCUUAAAGGGACUGGUAACUAUGGCGGGUCCAGAUGUCAUUUGUGUCGGAGCAGGCAAAGAAUGUCAGGAAGUUUUAAAGUUUAAAUCAGUGACAUUCAGAUCUUAAACAUAAAUACGGUCGUUUCUACCCACAAUCAAGAAAUAUGUGCCUUAUCCCAUUUAAACGUUUGAGUCCCAGGGGACGUUGAGAUAACAGUGUCGAAAAAUGCCGAACAUCGCAACAGCGCUGUUUUAAUCGAGUGCGAAGGAAGCCAAGCGGCGCGGUAGCGCUCGCUUUUUUAAUAUCUCUAAGAGCACCGUCAGUUGUCCAUACUGUUCAAAUGUACUGAGCUUUUCGACAUGAAAUGUAGUCAACGUGAAUGCGUAUGUAUGUACAGUAAACAUCACCACAUUACAAAAAUUACAUCAGACCUAUUAGAGAA